rnacentral:rRNA from 1 species
GACGAACGCUGGCGGCGUGCCUAAUACAUGCAAGUAGAACGCUGAAGAGAGGAGCUUGCUCUUCUUGGAAGAGUUGCGAACGGGUGAGUAACGCGUAGGUAACCCGCCUUGUAGCGGGGGAUAACUAUUGGAAACGAUAGCUAAUACCGCAUAACAAUGGGUGACCCAUGUCAUUCAUUUAAAAGGGGCAACUGCUCCACUACAAGAUGGACCUGCGUUGUAUUAGCUAGUAGGUGAGGUAACGGCUCACCUAGGCGACGAUACAUAGCCGACCUGAGAGGGUGAUCGGCCACACUGGGACUGAGACACGGCCCAGACUCCUACGGGAGGCAGCAGUAGGGAAUCUUCGGCAAUGGGGGCAACCCUGACCGAGCAACGCCGCGUGAGUGAAGAAGGUUUUCGGAUCGUAAAGCUCUGUUGUAAGUCAAGAACGAGUGUGAGAGUGGAAAGUUCACACUGUGACGGUAGCUUACCAGAAAGGGACGGCUAACUACGUGCCAGCAGCCGCGGUAAUACGUAGGUCCCGAGCGUUGUCCGGAUUUAUUGGGCGUAAAGCGAGCGCAGGCGGUUUGAUAAGUCUGAAGUUAAAGGCUGUGGCUCAACCAUAGUUUGCUUUGGAAACUGUCAAACUUGAGUGCAGAAGGGGAGAGUGGAAUUCCAUGUGUAGCGGUGAAAUGCGUAGAUAUAUGGAGGAACACCGGUGGCGAAAGCGGCUCUCUGGUCUGUAACUGACGCUGAGGCUCGAAAGCGUGGGGAGCGAACAGG